rnacentral:rRNA from 1 species
CCCAAUAGAUUUCUCACACAUGCAGUCGAGCGAAUGACGUGAAGCUUGCUUCUCUGAUUUACCGGCGGACGGCUGAGUAACACGUGGGCAACCUGCCCUACAGAUCGGGAUAACUCAGGAAAACCUGGUCUAAUACCGGAUAAUCCUUCGAAUCACAUGUUUUGAAGUUGAAAGGCGCUUCGGCGUCACUGUAGGAUGGGCCCGCGGCGCAUUAGCUAGUUGUGGGAGAAACGGCCUACCCAGGCAUCGAUGCAUAUCCGACCUGAGAGCGCGAUCGUCCACAUUGGCACUGACCCAUUUCUAAAAAAAAAUACGGGAGGCGGCAGUCCCUCCUCUUCCACAAUGGACGAAAGUCGGAUGCAGCGACGGCGCGAGAGAGAUGUAGGUUUUCAGAUCAUAAAUCUCUGUUGUAAGGGAAGAACAAGUACGUUAGGAAAUGACGGUACCUUGACGGUACCUUAUUACAAGGCCACGGCUACCUACGUGCCAGCAGCCUAGGUAAUACGUAGGUGGUGGCGUUGUCUUGAUUUAUUGGGCGUA